AACAUUAAAUUUUAGUAAUUAUUAGAGCUUUAUGAAAAUUAAAUUUGACGAAAAAAGGAACAACUAAUAUUUAAUGCUACUAAAAAAACCGGUUAUACAGUAGUUUGUCUUGCUUAGAAAAUUAAUUCUUGUUUGCCAUUCAUAGUUAGUGGUUUUUGGCUCUGACUGAUAUGAGCAAGUUUUUUUACUUUCAUUACAUUAAGUAUGCACGUGUAGUUCAUCUUUUUUUGCAUGAAGUAUUAAUAGCGAGUUGUUUCAAUAGAACUGUCUUCUAGUUUUGAUUUAAUUUUUGCUAGCACUGUUGAUCUCAACACAUCACAAAGAGUCCAGCUUUUCUUUCAGCUUCUUCAUGGAGCUGCUAAUAAUCAUGAAAGCAGUGACCUGGGGUUACUUUUUCAAACCUCAGUAACAUCUGCAGAGGUAGACAUAUUGUAAAAGUUAUUUCCACAGCCAAAUAAAGAAUGAUAAAGCGUGGCAGAGGAAGACUUUAUUAGAAGAGCAACCAGACACAGACACUAGUGAUCCUGUUACUGAGAACCUCCGUUUUGUUAAAUUGGGCUGUAAAAUUGGCAACAUUAUUUUUGUGAACUAAACAAAAUGCUCCAAAAUAUAACUUCAACUAUGCUAGUUGUGAGUUAAUAAUGCUUCAUGACAGUGCCUCUAUUAUUAGGAGCUGUUACUGGAACAUUAGCUGAUGAAAAUAAAGUAAAUCAGGAUCCUGCUGAUAGCACUAGCUUCUAAAAUAACCAAAUUUAUAAUACAUUAUUGCCUGCAGCAGUUGAAGUAGAGUCUUGAUGAAUAUCAUGAAACACUUGACAGAUUGAAAGCUAGUCAAUAUUAAUAAUGUGUGUAUCCAGUUUUAUUAUUGUUAUAGGCAUGUAAAUUAUGGUGAUGAUAAUUACAUGUAUAAUAACAAUCAAACUUUCUAAAUAAUUAUUAUACUUUCUACUGUCUUUGCUUUUAUUCUCCUUGUUAUUGU